AUGAUCAAGCUACUAAGGGCGCACGGUGGAUGCCUUGGCGAUGGAAGGCGAUGAAGGACGCGGUCAGCUGCGAUAAGCCUCGGGGAGCCGCAAACAGGCGUCGAUCCGGGGAUCUCCGAAUGGGGGAACCCACUCUACAGAAAGUGGAGUAUCUUUCGACUGAAUCCAUAGGUUGGAAGAAGCGAACUCAGGGAAGUGAACCAUCUUAGUACCUGAAGGAAGAGAAAACAAAUCAGUGAUUCCGUCAGUAGCGGCGAGCGAACGCGGAAGAGCCCAAACCGGCGAGUCUUCGGAUUCGCUGGGGUUGUAGGGCCUGCCCGGUUUAGAACCAAGAAGUUAACAACCGAUCCGCUAGCAGAACUGUCUGGAAAGACAGGCCAUAGAGGGUGACGGCCCCGUAAGCGAAAGCGGUGAGGCUUCUGGCAGGUUCCUGAGUAACGCGGGACACGUGGAACCCUGCGUGAAUCUACGACGACCAUGUCGUAAGGCUAAAUACUCUCCAUCGACCGAUAGUGAACCAGUACCGUGAGGGAAAGGUGAAAAGCACCCCUGCGAGGGGAGUUAAAAGUACCUGAAACCGUGCGCUUACAAGCAGUGAGAGGGCUAUGUCGCAAGACAGCCUGAUCGCGUGCCUAUUGCAUAAUGAGCCGGCUAGUUAUUGUCACAGGCAAGGUUAACCUGUAUGGGGGAGCCGUAGCGAAAGCGAGUCUGAAUAGGGCGAUUGAGUCUGUGGCAAUAGACGCGAAGCGGGAUGAUCUACCCUUGGCCAGGAUGAAACCGCAGUAACAUGCGGUGGAGGUCCGAACCAGUGUUGGUUGAAAACAGCUUGG
rnacentral:rRNA from 1 species